AGAGUUUGAUCCUGGCUCAGGAUGAACGCUGGCGGCGUGCCUAAUACAUGCAAGUCGAGCGAAUGGAUUAAGAGCUUGCUCUUAUGAAGUUAGCGGCGGACGGGUGAGUAACACGUGGGUAACCUGCCCAUAAGACUGGGAUAACUCCGGGAAACCGGGGCUAAUACCGGAUAACAUUUUGAACCGCAUGGUUCGAAAUUGAAAGGCGGCUUCGGCUGUCACUUAUGGAUGGACCCGCGUCGCAUUAGCUAGUUGGUGAGGUAACGGCUCACCAAGGCAACGAUGCGUAGCCGACCUGAGAGGGUGAUCGGCCACACUGGGACUGAGACACGGCCCAGACUCCUACGGGAGGCAGCAGUAGGGAAUCUUCCGCAAUGGACGAAAGUCUGACGGAGCAACGCCGCGUGAGUGAUGAAGGCUUUCGGGUCGUAAAGCUCUGUUGUUAGGGAAGAACAAGUGCUAGUUGAAUAAGCUGGCACCUUGACGGUACCUAACCAGAAAGCCACGGCUAACUACGUGCCAGCAGCCGCGGUAAUACGUAGGUGGCAAGCGUUAUCCGGAAUUAUUGGGCGUAAAGCGCGCGCAGGUGGUUUCUUAAGUCUGAUGUGAAAGCCCACGGCUCAACCGUGGAGGGUCAUUGGAAACUGGGAGACUUGAGUGCAGAAGAGGAAAGUGGAAUUCCAUGUGUAGCGGUGAAAUGCGUAGAGAUAUGGAGGAACACCAGUGGCGAAGGCGACUUUCUGGUCUGUAACUGACACUGAGGCGCGAAAGCGUGGGGAGCAAACAGGACUAGAUACCCU
rnacentral:rRNA from 1 species